rnacentral:rRNA from 1 species
CUACGGGAGGCAGCAGUGGGGAAUCUUAGACAAUGGGCGCAAGCCUGAUCUAGCCAUGCCGCGUGAGUGAUGAAGGCCUUAGGGUCGUAAAGCUCUUUCGCCAGGGAUGAUAAUGACAGUACCUGGUAAAGAAACCCCGGCUAACUCCGUGCCAGCAGCCGCGGUAAUACGGAGGGGGUUAGCGUUGUUCGGAAUUACUGGGCGUAAAGCGCACGUAGGCGGACUGGAAAGUUGGGGGUGAAAUCCCGGGGCUCAACCCCGGAACUGCCUCCAAAACUAUCAGUCUAGAGUUCGAGAGAGGUGAGUGGAAUUCCGAGUGUAGAGGUGAAAUUCGUAGAUAUUCGGAGGAACACCAGUGGCGAAGGCGGCUCACUGGCUCGAUACUGACGCUGAGGUGCGAAAGUGUGGGGAGCAAACAGGAUUAGAUACCCUGGUAGUCCACACCGUAAACGAUGAAUGCCAGUCGUCAGCAAGCAUGCUUGUUGGUGACACACCUAACGGAUUAAGCAUUCCGCCUGGGGAGUACGGUCGCAAGAUUAAAACUCAAAGGAAUUGACGG